rnacentral:rRNA from 1 species
AGACAACGAUCUCUACCUGUUUCGAAUAGGAAGAUCAGCCACACUGGGACUGAGACACGGCCCAGACUCUUACGGGAGGCAGCAGUGGGGAAUAUUGCACAAUGGGGGGAAACCCUGAUGCAGCCAUACCGCGUGUGUGAAGAAGGCCUUCGGGUUGUAAAGCACUUUCAGUUGUGAGGAAAAGUUAGUAGUUAAUACCUGCUAGCCGUGGCGUUAACAACAGAAGAAGCACCGGCUAACUCCGUGCCAGCAGCCGCGGUAAUACGGAGGGUGCGAGCGUUAAUCGGAAUUACUGGGCGUAAAGCGCACGCAGGCGGUUUGUUAAGCUAGAUGUGAAAGCCCCGGGCUCAACCUGGGACGGUCAUUUAGAACUGGCAGACUAGAGUCUUGGAGAGGGGAGUGGAAUUCCAGGUGUAGCGGUGAAAUGCGUAGAUAUCUGGAGGAACAUCAGUGGCGAAGGCGACUCCCUGGCCAAAGACUGACGCUCAUGUGCGAAAGUGUGGGUAGCGAACAGGAUUAGAUACCCUGGUAGUCCACACCGUAAACGCUGUAUACUAGCUGUUUGUGACUUUAAGUCGUGAGUAGCGAAGCUAACGCGAU